rnacentral:rRNA from 1 species
UGGGGAAUUUUGGACAAUGGGCGCAAGCCUGAUCCAGCCAUGCCGCGUGCGGGAAGAAGGCCUUCGGGUUGUAAACCGCUUUUGUCAGGGAAGAAAUCUUCUGAGUUAAUACCUCGGGAGGAUGACGGUACCUGAAGAAUAAGCACCGGCUAACUACGUGCCAGCAGCCGCGGUAAUACGUAGGGUGCAAGCGUUAAUCGGAAUUACUGGGCGUAAAGCGUGCGCAGGCGGUUUUGUAAGACAGAGGUGAAAUCCCCGGGCCACUACUGGGAACUGCCUUUGUGACUGCAAGGCUUGAGUGCGGCAGAGGGGGGAUGGAAUUCCGCGUGUAGCAGUGAAAUGCGUAGAUAUGCGGAGGAACACCGAUGGCGAAGGCAAUCCACUGGGCCUGCACUGACGCUCAUGCACGAAAGCGUGGGGAGCAAACAGAUUAGAUACCCUGGUAGUCCACGCCCUAAAACGAUGUCAACUGGCUGUUGGGAAGGUUCCUUCUCAGUAACGUAGCUAACGCGUGAAGUUGACCGCCUGGGGAGUACGGCCGCAAGGUUGAAACUUAAAUGAAUUGACGGGGUCAUAGCUGUUUCCUG